CCAUUUUUCUUAAUGUUUGUCUAGGUUUGGCGGUGCACUAACUGCACAAGUGUUCUAAAAGGUUAGCUAUUUCAUCAUUUCAUCUCACUGUUAUUUUAAUUUAGAUGCAAAAUUUGAGCUCAAAUUAACUUCUUAGAGUCUGCACAUGUGUAGGGUGCCGUUCCGUGCCCGUUCUCACCGUUGUCGACCGCCCGCGCCGAUCUCGUCGGGAGCACCAUCGUGAAUGGAGAUUCUUGAAUGUAUAAGAGGACGAAUCUAUGACAUUGGGUUCAUUGACCCAUAUUUUAUUCAUCACCAAAGUCUCGCAUUGAAUCCCCGCGAGACAAAAAAUAACUUGGCACAACUGUUAAGGUUCCAUUAUAUUCUGUUAAUCAUUGUACCUGACGAGGGACUAGUAAAAGUCAGACCCGAAACGCACACCCCUCGCUGAACGGGCGAACAUGCAGGAAUGCUUCCAGAGGGCUUGGAAACGGUUCAUCGUGAAGUGUCGGGGUGUUUGAAACCAGAGAGCUUACAUUUAGACAAAUGGAUUGCUUGAGACGGGAACAUGGGAACAAUUUAUGUGGAUACUAUGUUUGCGAGUUCAUUCACUAGACGGCUCAUGAGACGGGCACAAAGUGGGACAAAAAAAUGAAAUCGAACGGUUGCGGGACGGUCUUCUACCACAGGAACGU